ACGGAAGGCAGCAGUGGGGAAUAUUGCACAAUGGGCGAAAGCCUGAUGCAGCGACGCCGCGUGAGCGAAGAAGUAUUUCGGUAUGUAAAGCUCUAUCAGCAGGGAAGAUAAUGACGGUACCUGACUAAGAAGCACCGGCUAAAUACGUGCCAGCAGCCGCGGUAAUACGUAUGGUGCAAGCGUUAUCCGGAUUUACUGGGUGUAAAGGGAGCGCAGGCGGUACGGCAAGUCUGAUGUGAAAGCCCGGGGCUCAACCCCGGUACUGCAUUGGAAACUGUCGAACUAGAGUGUCGGAGGGGUAAGUGGAAUUCCUAGUGUAGCGGUGAAAUGCGUAAAUAUUAGGAGGAACACCAGUGGCGAAGGCGGCUUACUGGACGAUAACUGACGCUGAGGCUCGAAAGCGUGGGGAGCAAACAGGAUUAGAUACCCUGGUA
rnacentral:rRNA from 1 species